UAGUUUUGGUGAGUAUUUUCUAUCCGACCAGUGGCUUCUAUCCGAACAGUGGAAGCUGGACAGCCACGGCUGACUGUUGUUCUGUUGGCGGGCCAGCGCCGCCUCCCACCGGCCACCAUACGAUGACGGCCGCCGGAGACCGAGCACCGGUACCACCGGACAAAAAGUGGAAUCGGCAAGGCCGGGCUAGCGACUGUCUGCAGAUCGGCAGAGAAGAGCUGAGCUGCACCUACGCUGCAGGGCAACUACCGACUGCAGUGGCUUUACCUGUUUUUGUGUGACCAGCGAGGAAUAAAACGGGCGCGAGACGGAGCAGCGAGACACUCCUCACACAGUCCACACCACGUUCGACAACACCCACUCUGCAACACUCCACUCAACAUGCACAACCUGCCCGCCAUCAUGACGCUGACCAGGGAGCCGAUUGGCUCGGCUUGGCGGCAGCAGGCUGUUCUUUCGGCACUCUUCCGGCCUCUCCAAUAUCGGCACACUCGAGUGCGAUAGCAACUCGAGUGGGACUGAUUUUCGGUCUUCUUUCGACACUCUUCCGUCUUCUUCGAUAUCAGCCUGUGCUAAUGCAACGGCUAUUCGUGCAGGACUGAUUUUCGGCCUUGUCUCGUUUAAUGACUCGAUCGCUUCCUUUUGACAUUUUGGUUUCGACCUCAUCUUUUGGCUCAUUUCAAUAUAUCUACUUUUAACUCA